AGAGUUUGAUCCUGGCUCAGGAUGAACGCUAGCUACAGGCUUAACACAUGCAAGUCGAGGGGCAGCAUGGACCCAGCUUUGCUGGGUUUGAUGGCGACCGGCGCACGGGUGAGUAACGCGUAUCCAACCUGCCCUUUACUCCGGGAUAGUCUCCUGAAAGGGAGUUUAAUACCGGAUGUGUUUGUCUUUCCGCAUGGGAGCGACAAAUAAAGAUUGAUUGGUAAAGGAUGGGGAUGCGUCCCAUUAGCUUGUUGGCGGGGUAACGGCCCACCAAGGCGACGAUGGGUAGGGGUUCUGAGAGGAAGGUCCCCCACAUUGGAACUGAGACACGGUCCAAACUCCUACGGGAGGCAGCAGUGAGGAAUAUUGGUCAAUGGGCGGGAGCCUGAACCAGCCAAGUAGCGUGAAGGACGACGGCCCUACGGGUUGUAAACUUCUUUUAUAAGGGAAUAAAGUUCGCCACGUGUGGUGUUUUGUAUGUACCUUAUGAAUAAGCAUCGGCUAAUUCCGUGCCAGCAGCCGCGGUAAUACGGAAGAUGCGAGCGUUAUCCGGAUUUAUUGGGUUUAAAGGGAGCGUAGGCGGGCUUUUAAGUCAGCGGUCAAAUGUCGUGGCUCAACCAUGUCAAGCCGUUGAAACUGUAAGCCUUGAGUCUGCACAGGGCACAUGGAAUUCGUGGUGUAGCGGUGAAAUGCUUAGAUAUCACGAAGAACUCCGAUCGCGAAGGCAUUGUGCCGGGGCAUAACUGACGCUGAGGCUCGAAAGUGCGGGUAUCAAACAGGAUUAGAUACCCUGGUAGUCCGCACGGUAAACGAUGAGUGCUAAGUGUUGGGGGUCGAACCUCAGUGCUGAAGUUAACGCAAUGGAGCAACUCCGCCUGGGGGGGACGGUCGCAAGACUGAAACUCAAAGAGAAUUGACGGGGACCCGCACAAGGCGGUGGAGCAUGUGGUAUAAUUGGAAGCAACGCGAAGAACUCUUACCAGGUCUUGACAUACCAGUGACCGUCCUAGAGAUAGGAUUUUCCCUUCGGGGACAAUGGAUACAGGUGGUGCAUGGUUGUCGUCAGCUCGUGUCGUGAGAUGUUGGGUUAAGUUCCGCAACGAGCGCAACCCCUAUUGUUAGUUGCUACGCAAGAGCACUCUAGCGAGACUGCCGUUGACAAAACGGAGGAAGGUGGGGACGACGUCAAAUCAUCAUGCCCCUUAUGUCCUGGGCUACGCACGUAAUACAAUGGCGGUCAACAGAGGGAUGCAAAGCCGUAAGGUGGAGCGAACCCCUAAAAGCCGUCCCAGUUCAGAUUGUGGGCUGCAACCCGCCCACAUGAAGUCGGAAUCGCUAGUAAUCGCGGAUCAGCAUGCCGCGGUGAAUAAAUUCCCGGGCCUUGCACACACCGCCCGUCA
rnacentral:rRNA from 1 species